ACAAGAUGCGAGGUCAAGGUCACCUCAAAGAAGAGAGAAGGAGGAAGGAGGAGAGACGUCGAGUGGAGAAAACAAUUCCAGAUUUUGGAGAUGAGGCAAGCUUCUGAAGGCAUUCAUCACAUACCUGAAGUUAUAGAAGCCAAAGUAGAGAACAUUAAGGAGGUCUGGAGCAUUCUGCUAGCUGGAAGCAAUGCAAGAAUUAGCCCUUCGAAGCUGGACCUGAAUGAGAGUUUAAGUUCUCGAAACUUUGCAGCAUGGGUUCUAAACUUUGAAUUAGGUCUAGUAAACAAGUGAAUACGGGUGAGGUUCAAAAGCUAAGAAAUCAGGUAAGCUCAAGGAAGCCUAAGUUAAGAGAGUCUUUUCACUGUCCCUUAAAUAUCCAUUAUCAAAGUGAACUUGUGUACUCUGCAACUAAUAAGCAUAUGCAUGAUAAGACUUCAUAAAUUGCUAAUUUUGUUUUCUUCCUGAUUUAUUUUUAGAAGAAUGACAAGAGUUGGGAUCUAAAGAGGAUGCUUUUUGAAAAUUAGAAGAAAACUUUCAGAAUCUAGAGGGAAAGGCAAAAGGUGAUUUCUCAAAUGUGUAGAAGCCAACAAGAUAAGAUUGAUAAACUUGAAAACCAAAUUGCUUUGAAUCUAGGUGGGUAGUGUUUAGGCCCAAGGAUGUUUAGGAAAGGAAGUGUUUGAUAGGGUAGAUUGAAAACAGAGGAGGGUAAUUUGUUGUUUUAGAAACAGAGGAGUUAUAUUAUUCACUUGAUGAUUACCGCCGAUUCAGAUUUGGGGUGUAUAACAUUUAUUCAUAUUUUAGUCUUCCAUCCAUACCAAAUCUUUUGUUUCGGGCUUGACAUAGUAGAAACUCUCACAUAUGAGGAUGACUACGUGAGCUUGUUCGACACAUGGCGCAAUGUGUAUCACUUCUCACCAGGAAAAUGCUGGUACGUCAAUGUGUAUGGAUUUUCAGUUGAUAGAUAGGCUCGGAAUGGGUCAUGUAUCAUAUAUAUUCUUUAGGGUUUCUUUGAUUAUGAAACCAUUACUAUUAUUGAUAAGUUGCCUGUGUGAUUUUAGGGAUGUGCUUCCGAUAAAACUAUUUAUAGCUAUACUUCAGAUGGGCACUUCGGGUUGAAGUCUUCGUGUCUUGAUAAGAGAUUGUCCUAGUGAAAAGGUAAUUUGGACUGCUGGAAUUAUGUGCUAAAUUAUUAAUCAUUUACUACAUUUGCAAGUUCUAUGCAUUUUUAUAGUACCACUUAAACCCCGAUUGAUCUCUGAUCCAUGACCGAAUCAGCUAUUCCUUCAAUCUUUAAUCUACUUUUGUCUAUAUCUAUACAUUCCUUCUCUGGUAAUGUUUCAAUGGUGCAUGUUUAUUGUUAUAUUGUUAUAUUGUCUCAAGUUUGAGGUGUGAAAUCUUUCGUGUAAUUGUCCUUUAAAUCCUAGUUAUUAUAAGCUUAUUCAUUUUUUGAGUUGGUAAAUUGUAAAUGCCUAAAUGGACAUUUGGAUGUAUUCAUAUCUGU